AGAGUUUGAUCCUGGCUCAGGAUGAACGCUGGCGGCGUGCCUAAUACAUGCAAGUAGAACGCUGAAGCUUGGUGCUUGCACCGAGCGGAUGAGUUGCGAACGGGUGAGUAACGCGUAGGUAACCUGCCUCUUAGCGGGGGAUAACUAUUGGAAACGAUAGCUAAUACCGCAUAAAAGUCGACAUCGCAUGAUGUUGACUUGAAAGGUGCAAUUGCAUCACUAAGAGAUGGACCUGCGUUGUAUUAGCUAGUUGGUGAGGUAACGGCUCACCAAGGCGACGAUACAUAGCCGACCUGAGAGGGUGAUCGGCCACACUGGGACUGAGACACGGCCCAGACUCCUACGGGAGGCAGCAGUAGGGAAUCUUCGGCAAUGGGGGCAACCCUGACCGAGCAACGCCGCGUGAGUGAAGAAGGUUUUCGGAUCGUAAAGCUCUGUUGUAAGUCAAGAACGAGUGUGAGAGUGGAAAGUUCACACUGUGACGGUAGCUUACCAGAAAGGGACGGCUAACUACGUGCCAGCAGCCGCGGUAAUACGUAGGUCCCGAGCGUUGUCCGGAUUUAUUGGGCGUAAAGCGAGCGCAGGCGGUUUGAUAAGUCUGAAGUUAAAGGCUGUGGCUCAACCAUAGUUCGCUUUGGAAACUGUCAAACUUGAGUGCAGAAGGGGAGAGUGGAAUUCCAUGUGUAGCGGUGAAAUGCGUAGAUAUAUGGAGGAACACCGGUGGCGAAAGCGGCUCUCUGGUCUGUAACUGACGCUGAGGCUCGAAAGCGUGGGGAGCGAACAGGAUUAGAUACCCUGGUAGUCCACGCCGUAAACGAUGAGUGCUAGGUGUUGGAUCCUUUCCGGGAUUCAGUGCCGCAGCUAACGCAUUAAGCACUCCGCCUGGGGAGUACGACCGCAAGGUUGAAAC
rnacentral:rRNA from 1 species